rnacentral:rRNA from 1 species
UACUGCUAUCGGUGUUCGACUAAGCCAUGCUAGUUAAAUGUUCUUCGUGAACAUAGCGGACUGCUCAGUAACACGUGGACAAUCUGCCCUUGGGUUCAGCAUAACCCCGGGAAACUGGGGAUAAUUCUGAAUAGAUCACAUAUGCUGGAAUGCUUUGUGAUUAAAAGAUCCGUCGCCCAAGGAUGGGUCUGCGGCCUAUCAGGUUGUAGUGGGUCUAGAGUACCUACUAGCCAACGACGGGUACGGGUUGUGAGAGCAAGAGCCCGGAGAUGGAUUCUGAGACAUUAAUCCAGGCCCUACGGGGCGCAGCAGGCGCGAAACCUUUACACUGCGGGAAACCGCGAUAAGGGGACACCGAGUGCCAGCAUACAAUGCUGGCUGUCCACAUGUGUAAAUAGCAUGUGAUAGCAAGGGCCGGGCAAGACCGGUGCCAGCCGCCGCGGUAACACCGGCGGCCCGAGUGGUAAUCACUAUUAUUGGGUCUAAAGGGUCCGUAGCCGGUUUAAUCAGUCUUCCGGGAAAUCUGACAGCUCAACUGUUAGGCUACCGGGGGAUACUGUUAGA